UACGGGGGGGGCAAGCGUUGUUCGGAAUUACUGGGCGUAAAGGGCUCGUAGGCGGCCAACUAAGUCAGACGUGAAAUCCCUCGGCUUAGCCGGGGAACUGCGUCUGAUACUGGAUGGCUAGAGUUUGGGAGAGGGAUGCGGAAUUCCAGGUGUAGCGGUGAAAUGCGUAGAUAUCAGGAGGAACACCGGUGGCGAAGGCGGAUCUCUGGGCCUUACCUGACGCUCAGGCGCGAAAGCUAGGGGAGCGAACUGG
rnacentral:rRNA from 1 species